rnacentral:rRNA from 1 species
AACGAACGCUGGCGGCAGGCCUAACACAUGCAAGUCGAGCGAGGACUUCGGUCCUAGCGGCGGACGGGUGAGUAACGCGUGGGAACGUGCCCUUUGCUUCGGAAUAGCCCUGGGAAACUGGGAGUAAUACCGGAUGAGCCCUUUGGGGGAAAGAUUUAUCGGCGAAGGAUCGGCCCGCGUUGGAUUAGGUAGUUGGUGGGGUAAUGGCCUACCAAGCCGACGAUCCAUAGCUGGUUUGAGAGGAUGAUCAGCCACACUGGGACUGAGACACGGCCCAGACUCCUACGGGAGGCAGCAGUGGGGAAUCUUAGACAAUGGGGGAAACCCUGAUCUAGCCAUGCCGCGUGAGCGAUGAAGGCCUUAGGGUUGUAAAGCUCUUUCAGCUGGGAAGAUAAUGACGGUACCAGCAGAAGAAGCCCCGGCUAACUCCGCG